CUGACGGAGCAACGCCGCGUGAGUGAAGACGGCCUUCGGGUGGUAAAGCUCUGUGAUCCGGGACGAAAGAGCGCCAUACGAAGAAUAUGGCGAAGUGACGGUACCGUAGAAGAAAGCCACGGCUAACUACGUGCCAGUAGCCGCGGUAAUACGUAGGUGGCAAGCGUUGUCCGGAAUUAUUGGGCGUAAAGGGCGCGCAGGCGGCUUCCCAAGUCCCUCUUAAAAGUGCGGGGCUUAACCCCGUGAUGGGAAGGAAACUGGGAAGCUGGAGUAUCGGAGAGGAAAGUGGAAUUCCUAGUGUAGCGGUGAAAUGCGUAGAGAUUAGGAAGAACACCGGUGGCGAAGGCGACUUUCUGGACGAAAACUGACGCUGAGGCGCGAAAGCGUGGGGAGCAAACAGGAUUAGAUACCCUGGUAGUCCACGCCGUAAACGAUGGAUACUAGGUGUAGGAGGUAUCGACCCCUUCCGUGCCGGAGUUAACGCAAUAAGUACCCCGCCUGGGGAGUACGGCGC
rnacentral:rRNA from 1 species